rnacentral:RNase_P_RNA from 1 species
AGGGCAAAACGAGACAAUCGCUCACCCAGUAUAUGGCGUGAGAGGAAAGUCCGGACUCCUAGCAAACAGGGUACCUUCGGAGCUAUCACGCAACGGAGGAGGGGGUAACCUCAUGGAAAGUGCCACAGAAAAUAACCGCCCAUCAUUUCAAUGAAGUGAUAGGUAAGGGUGAAAACGUGCGGUAAGAGCGCACGACGGCUUGCAGUAAUGCAGGUUGGGGGCAAACCCUACUCGGAGCAAGGCAAAGUAGGCGCGUAUCGGUUGUUUGUUCCGGCUAAGCGCGCGGGUAUGCCGCAAAGAUAAAUGGUUGUCGGUCUCCAUGGAAGCAUGGAAACUACAGAAUCCGGCUUACUGUUUUGCCCUGUUU